rnacentral:hammerhead_ribozyme from 1 species
AUCCGACUGACGAGUCCCAAGUAGGACGAAACGCGCGUCCCGGAU